rnacentral:misc_RNA from 1 species
ACGCUAGGAUCCGCGCUCCCUCGCAGCCAGCGACAUGUGCCCGAUGUGACCGUGCGUGGCUCAGUCUCCCGACUAGCUUCCCGGUAAAAUGCGGGCUCGGCGCGCAGGUCGCGCCAGUGAAGGUAAAAGUACGUGUCCGUAGCGUGAAGCCAGC